ACUCCUACGGGAGGCAGCAGUGGGGAAUAUUGCACAAUGGGCGCAAGCCUGAUGCAGCCAUGCCGCGUGUAUGAAGAAGGCCUCGGUUGUAAAGUACUUUCAGCAGUGAGGAAGGUGGGUAUGUUAAUAGCAUACUCAUUUGACGUUAGCUGCAGAAGAAGCACCGGCUAACUCCGUGCCAGCAGCCGCGGUAAUACGGAGGGUGCGAGCGUUAAUCGGAAUUACUGGGCGUAAAGCGCAUGCAGGUGGUUUGUUAAGUCAGAUGUGAAAGCCCGGGGCUCAACCUCGGAAUUGCAUUUGAAACUGGCAAACUAGAGUACUGUAGAGGGGGUAGAAUUUCAGGUGUAGCGGUGAAAUGCGUAGAGAUCUGAAGGAAUACCGGUGGCGAAGGCGGCCCCCUGGACAGAUACUGACACUCAGAUGCGAAAGCUGGGGAGCAAACAGGAUUAGAUACCCUGGUA
rnacentral:rRNA from 1 species